CCUACGGGAGGCUGCAGUGGGGAAUAUUGCACAAUGGGGGAAACCCUGAUGCAGCGACGCCGCGUGAGUGAGGAAGUAGUUCGGUAUGUAAAGCUCUAUCAGCAGGGAAGAAAAGGACGGUACCUGACUAAGAAGCCCCGGCUAACUACGUGCCAGCAGCCGCGGUAAUACGUAGGGGGCAAGCGUUAUCCGGAUUUACUGGGUGUAAAGGGAGCGUAGACGGUUAAUCAAGUCAGAAGUGAAAACCCAGGGCUCAACCUUGGGACUGCUUUUGAAACUGAGUAGCGAGAGUGCAGGAGAGGUAAGCGGACUUCCUCUUGUAGCGGUGAACUGCGUAGAUCUUAGGAGGCACACCAGUGGCGACGGCGGUCUGCUGGACAGCACCUGACGGUGAGGCGC
rnacentral:rRNA from 1 species